UACGUAGGGUGCGAGCGUUAAUCGGAAUUACUGGGCGUAAAGCGCGCGCAGGCGGCACUGUAAGUAAGGUGUGAAAUCUCCCUGCUCAACGGGGAGGGUGCAUUUUAGACUGCAGAGCUAGAGGACGGUAGAGGGGGGUGGAAUUGCUGGUGUAGCGGUGAAAUGCGUAGAGAUCAGCAGGAACACCCGUGGCGAAGGCGGCCCCCUGGGCCGAACCUGACGCUGAGGCGCGAAGGCUAGGGGAGCGAACGGG
rnacentral:rRNA from 1 species